rnacentral:rRNA from 1 species
UACGUAGGGUGCAAGCGUUGUCCGGAAUUAUUGGGCGUAAAGAGCUCGUAGGUGGCUUGUCACGUCGGGUGUGAAAUCCCAGGGCUUAACCCUGGGUCUGCAUUCGAUACGGGCUGGCUAGGGUCCUUCAGGGGAGACUGGAAUUCCUGGUGUAGCGGUGAAAUGCGCAGAUAUCAGGAGGAACACCGGUGGCGAAGGCGGGUCUCUGGGCCACUACUGACGCUGAGAAGCGAAAGCAUGGGGAGCGAACAGG